AUAAGCCCGCCUGCGUAUCGGCCAGUACUGGAGUGCGCGAGCCUCUGGAAACUCCGAUUCGCCGCCAUCC
rnacentral:rRNA from 1 species